GGGCGGGGGAGGAGAGAUGCUGGCGAGGCUGAGAGAGGGACGUAAAUAGAAGGUGCCAUCUGUGAACCAGGAAGUGUGCUCUCACCAGACACAGUCUGCUGGCACCUUGAUCUUGGACUUCCAGCCUCCAGAACUGUGGAAGGAGAAUAGCUUGUGAGAGUGUACGAGGGGAAUGAAGGGGUCAGAUGAGAGAGCACUGCGGAGAUGGAGAGAGGCAGAGAACUUGAUGCAUAUUUUGGAGGCAAAAUCAACAAGAUUGGCUGAUGGAUUAGAAGCAGAAGAUUUUGCCAUAGAGAAAUCUCUUGCUUUUUAAUCUUUCCAAUAUGUGAACCAACCAACCAGUCUACCAACCAGCCAACCAACCAACUACUCCACCAGUCAACUAACUCCUCCCACAGACAAAGAUUGGAGAAUGCUUCAAUCUGGUACAGAGACCAAAGCAAAGUAAUACUGUAUCAUGUACAGAUCUCAACUCUGUGAAGACAGUCCCUCAUGCUGUAGGAAGUCAGCCUUGAAUAUCUAGGCUUAGGGGAGGCUGAGGAAGGUCACCACAGGAGAAGUAAGUGGUUGGGGGCAGAUCAGGAUGCAGGGCUCUCAUUUCUCAUGGAGAGAUUUUGCUUUUUUAAAACGUCAGACCUACUGGUGUUUGCACUCAGUUUUCUUUCUUACAAAAAUCAACUCUAUUGAAGUGUACUGCCCAAUCAAGAUAUAGAACAUUUUCAUCACCCUAGAAAACUUCCUUGUGCCCCAAAUCCCAUCACUGAUGUGAUUUCUAUCACUAUAGCUGAGUUUUGUCUAUCCUAGAACUUUACAUAAAUUGUCCUUUUCUUUUGACUUUGUUUAUGUAGUUUUUUUCUCAUGUGGAAGAAAAAUAAUUAUUGCAGUUUUAUGGUUUUUAAAAAAUAUUCAAAUCGGAUUCAUCUGACAUUUAUUUUGGUGUAGUGUGUGAAAGGCACAGAUCUAAUCUCAUUUGUUUUCUCCCAGAGAGCUACCUGGUUGUUUCAACGUCAUUUAUUGAUAAAUGUAUCUUUUAUCUCACUAGUUUAAAUGCCACCUUUAUCAUAUAUUAAAUUCCCAAGUGUGCUCGGGUAUAUUUCUGGACCCUCCUUUCUUUUCCUUUGAUGUGUUUAUUCAUGUCUCAAUACAAUACUCUUUUA